rnacentral:misc_RNA from 1 species
AACGCAAAUUGCGCUCUCGGGUAUCCCUGGGAGCAUGCCUCUUUGAGUAUCGGUUCUACCUCAACUCGACAGCGUACUUCGAGUCUAACUCGAGUUGUACGUGUAGUCGGAAAAUGAGUGUCUCAGCGGGUUUUUCUUACUCAAGUUUUCGGACUCGAGUUCAAGACAAAACAAAUCUGUGUCACUUUAAAUACAGAGAAGAACCUGGACCUUCCCGCUAAUUAGGGGAUGACGCAAGAUAAUGCACUCCUCGCUGAGUGUUCAAAACCUUCGUCUCCCCUAAGGGAUGUGCUCCGGUUCUGAUCCAGGAAUGUCGUUAAAUAUUUUGCAAAAGAUAUUUAUUUAGACACUCUUUUUUUCAGAAUAAGAUCUCAGAUGAAGCAAGAUUACCCGCCGAAUUUAA